UACGGGGGGAGCAAGCGUUGUUCGGAUUUACUGGGCGUAAAGGGCGCGUAGGCGGCCAGCACAAGUCAGUUGUGAAAUCUCCGAGCUUAACUCGGAAAGGUCAACUGAUACUGUGCGGCUAGAGUGCGGAAGGGGCAACUGGAAUUCUUGGUGUAGCGGUGAAAUGCGUAGAUAUCAAGAGGAACACCUGCGGCGAAGGCGGGUUGCUGGGCCGACACUGACGCUGAGGCGCGAAAGCCAGGGGGGCGAACGGG
rnacentral:rRNA from 1 species